AUCUGGAACCUUCCAGAAAUCUGGAGCUGUUUAUUUUCAUCAAUUUUCCCUCCUUUUCUAGCCAUGCCCCACCCACUGUCUCUUAGCGGGCCAAUCAUCAUGUGACAAUAAUUUGACUGGCACCUAGUAACGCCAUAUUUGUUUCAUCGGAUUGGUCACUUUGUCUCAGGAAACUCUUGACAGAUUUUUGUCAAGGCCUUCUUCAUUUGCCCCAAGAGACUCUCCAAGCAUGGAUCAAGAGUCAGUAGACAAUAUACCCCAAGAUUUGCCUUUAUUGUGAACAAGAACUGCUCGGGUCACAAGCCAAAGUGGUGCUGCUGAGACUCCAAAAGUCCCACUCAUAGUUUGGCGCCUUUUGCCUAUAGUCGCUCACCCCUGCGCGAUACUGGCGCAUGCGGAGUGACGUCAGGGGUUCCACGGCUUCUGAUUGGUUCCUGAAGGAUGUACGUCGAGGUGGAGGGUUCCUCCCGCGUCGCCUCUGAGUUUCUUCGGUGGCUUUUGAGGCAGUUCCAGCCUUGGGUGUCAGCUGAAGGACAGGGCAAAACUCAGAAGCUCACUUGGACUUGCCAGGCAGGCGCUUGUGCCACUGAG
rnacentral:lncRNA from 1 species